CGAACGAUGCCCAGUUAACCGCCGACCACCCUCACCGCCCACCUAAUACCUAUUAGGCACCAGCACGAGCGUCGAGCACACUCCCGGCGGCCGGCACUUUCAUUAGUUCCAUUCAGAGCAUCGAAACCGACUCACAAGAAAGAUAGAAGCGACAGCAUUCACUGAUUGCUGAGUGUCUUAUCUAUUUUCUAUGCUGAGUGCUGACACAGGCCAGUAAGCGACAGCAACUACACAGCACUCUUCAAGACACCGCCUGGUUCAUCCGCGUCCGCUGUCGUCAAACUCUCUUCCACGACAAUACCGAAAGAAAACCUGAAACAGACUGCCAUCAUCACGUUGUCGCUUAGUUUUUCGAGGACGCCUCUCAACAACUAAUACAUAUCAACAACAGGUCAUUUGCAUAAGAUAUUUUAAAUAUGUCAUCGUCAUCAAGAUACAGAGAUUCUGGUAAUCCAGAUUGCAAAAUAUAUGUUGGUGAUCUAGGAUCAUCUGCAUCCAAACAAGAUUUAGAGGAUGCUUUUUCAUAUUAUGGUUCAAUUCGUAAUGUAUGGGUUGCCCGUAAUCCUCCUGGUUUUGCUUUUGUUGAAUUUGAGGAUCCAAGAGAUGCAGAAGAUGCAGUUAGAGGUUUAGAUGGCAGGAGCAUUUGUGGUAGACGAGUGCGAGUAGAAUUAUCUAAUGCUGGAUCACGUAAAGGUGCUUAUAGAGGAGGCCCACCUCGUCGAGGACGUCCAUUCCAUCCUGAAGACAAAUGUUAUGAAUGUGGUGAUAGGGGACAUUAUGCUCGUGAUUGUAGACGUUUUAAAGGAGGACGACGCCGGAUGUUCGGCUGAGAGCGUCUCGUCUCGUAGUGUCGAUCGUCGUAGAGCUCUCAACCAAAAUAAUAUAUUUUGAUCUACUUCGAGCAAUGUGUGUUAGUCGUCGGACUACGGCGCAACUAUCUGUCUGUCUGCGUUUAUCGAUGUACUCAGCUACACUAGAACCCCAUCGAGCCCAACCAACCUAAUGAUUUUUAUUCUGAUGCAUUAAUUAGCUAUCGGUGAACGUACACAGACAUUCAGAGACAGAAAGAGUUAUAAAUUAGAUCUGCAUAACGCCACUGACUGUCUACAUAGCAUUACCACAAUGUCAUUUUAGGAGAAUGUUGAACUUCGUUUUUUUAUGUCGUAUACUCCUUCUCGGUCUCGGUCACGAUCAUACAGCCGUAGUCGUCGUUCUCGUUCAGGUUCAAGAUCUCUUUCACGUUCCC